CAGUGGGAAGCAGGCAGAAGUACCUUCCUGGCUCUGCAGAGUUCCUGAAAGGAUAACUCUGAGAGGUGUGACUUGCUGGUGUUGAACAUUUUCUUAACUCUCAGUUUUAGUUGUUACGACACAUUCAACACCUCUAUUCAGUCUUCCAGGCAAAGCAUGCAAAAAAAAGGUAUUGGAUAAUCUCUAUAUUUUACAGCAAGUAACAUCUAAAUUGGACACUAGAGUGAAUAGACCCUGGUUUGUUGGCAGGGUAUUACCUUUUUCCCCAAAUGUAAUGUCUGAUUUGCAAACACAACUCUGAAAGAAAAGCUGCAAUUGUAAUUAAAUAAAAUAGCAUGAAAGCAAAGUGUAACACAAGUAUGUAAAACAGGAACACUUGACAUUGUUUUUGUUCUUUAAAUUCUUCCCAAAGAUGUCAUAACCCGUCAGACUGCGGCCAUUUGUCUGAUUUGAAAAUCUUUCCUUUCAACAAAAAGUGAAAUGUUUCCAUGGAGAUCAGCCAGAGAUAGCCAAAUGACGAACUUCUUGGCUGUACUUUCAGUUUGGUUUCUAUGGUUUCCAGACAAGGAGGGGAUAAUGUGAAGUCACUGAGCUUUCUUUCUUUCUUUCAUUCUGUCAUUCUGUCAUUCUUUCAUUCUUUCUUUCGUUCUCUCUCCUUCUUUCUCUCCCCCAUCUUAUUUUUCUGCAGGUUAAAGGUUAUUGUAAAACAAAUUGUGUGGGCCCACAACAAGCCCACAACAAGCAAGGGUCAUCAUUGUCAUCUUGGUCCUUGAAAAGCCUUACAUAGAAAGUCCUCCCCAACCUGAAGCUUAGCUAAACAUGCUUGGAGAUGACUGAAAGAAUACUUGAGUGCUAUUCUGCCAGGGUAAAAACAAGGAAGGAGUUCUGUGCGUGCACCGAGCCAUUCCGUGAUGGGCCGAGGCUGUUAACACCUGCUGCGUGCACUCUGUUGGAAAGCUGGUCCUGUGUUCCCGCCGGGAGUAUGUUCCUCGCGCGGCGCUCGGGAGAGACGGAGCUUCUUGCUGCCAUCUAUUGAUAGCACGGCGGAAGGGUCAGGAGCCGCCGCGCCCCGGCCGCCUGCUUCACAGCGCCUCUGAGCUCCGUCUGCAGCCGUAACGAGGCGGUGCUAUUCUCAGUGGUUGAAUAAGCAGAAAAUGGUUUGAAUUUGAUGCAGGGCGAGCGAGGCUUCUGCAUAACCCAAUCUCAGCCCCGGGUCACGGGGUAUGAGAGUUCAGUGCCUCAGAAAUGGGGAGAGAAGGGAGAAAGGUCUCUGGGGCUUCGCCAGAACCAAUUUCACAGCGAAUUGGAGUAAGAGUUAAAAUAACUGACACAGAGAUCAUAAUACUUGUAAAGCAAUGAUUGCUAGACAGUUUGGAAGUACGAAAAUCACUUUCCAGGGCUGUACAAAAGGCAGGGGACCACAAGAGCUCGCUCGGAGACAGCCAAGAGGAGCGCGCAGGAGCAGUGACACAGCCAGCCACGGCACGAUGUGACAGGGACAUCUUCCUGGACAUCUUCCAUUGUAGCGUUGUGACGGGCUCCGUAGCUUCAUUGACCAUGGAUAGUGUGCAGGGUUUCUGAAAACUGAGAGGGAAUUAUGGAACCAGAGGUCUUUAAUAUUGGAUAUUCACACCAGUAGGUGGGGAAACUGAGUCAAAAGACCCAGAAUGCCUGCGUUGUGGAAGUGUGUAUUUUGGUUUUUGUGCAAACACCUUUGUGAUUAUUGGUGUUUAAUUCCCUGAAUUGAUCUCAGUUUUGUUUCCAUAUGGCUUUUGUUUCAUACAAUGAUUUUCAUACACAGGAAGAUUCUGCCUGCAGGUUUCUGUCAUUUUUCUAUAUGUUUCAGGGAAUGGCUACAAGCUGUUUGUCCUUUGAGUAGAAGGAAUCAAGAGAUAUUUUAUCCUUACUAUCUUUGCUCACAAAUACCCACUAAGAGUAAAGUGCCACCAAACGAAGUUUAAUGAUGUUGUACAAACAUUAUAUGUGAGCUGCUUGCUGUUAACUUAAUAUUCAUAUAAAAAUGCUAAAAUUAGAAAGAUAAUAUGGAAUAGAUGAAAGGAAAAACUCUACCUUUAAAAAUUAACCUAAAACCAACACACUGAGGUGUACUUGAGCCAAGUGUGGUUUUCUGUCUUACAGAGGUUUUUAGUAUUUUUUUUCUGUUGUUAAUGUAAUUAAAGAUAAUUAAAAGAUCCUCAACAACUGCAGUCUAGAUCUGAAAAGCUAGCAUAUUAAUGCCAUUUUAAUUUUUUCACAGGUCAUUGGGGUAAAGCAAUAUUGGAUAUUGCACAGAUUAUCUUUGUGUUGUGUUUACUGUCAAAGUGGAAUGCAUGUAGGAAAAAAUAUCUCUCUCAGAAAUAACCUAGGCUUUAUUUCUAGUAAAAUAUAAUUAAUAGAGAAGAGUAAUAGUAUUAGUGUUUGCUUAUUAAAAUCAUACGAUUCCUCAAAGGCUGUGAUCUUCCCCUCAGGACAUUCAUAACUUCUUCAUUGAACCAAGCCUGCUGCUGAAGACAACACUUGGCCGAAACAUAGUUGCUGAUACUCACGAUGCAUAGUCUGGUCUGCGUGUGUGCCUGAUCUCACAGAGCAUCAAACCCUGGCCACCAGAACAAACACAGCCUCUGAGUCAGUGUUGCUGCUCUCAUGCAAAUGUGUGAGUGCUCUUUGGUAGAGGUGGGAGGGCGCAGUUAGCGCCGGCUCAGAGAUGGCCAGGCUUUGUGGCCGCUUCGCCUAAUGCCUCAUAUCCUUGUUUGCUGGCUGUCUUCACACUUGCAUACUUCCAACUCAUACUGCUGGGGACCUGGCCCACUCUCCUGUUCCAAACACGUUGUGUAGGCAUGCCAUGUCCUCUUUACUGGGAGACACCUAGGCUGCCUCUGACCAGGUGAAAUGAGCAAGGUGCUGCUGAGGUAUCUCCUUUUUUGCUGUCAUUCCAAGCCUAGCAGGAAUAAAUUGCUCAUGAUGAUCUGCCUCUCACUGUCCACUCCCAGUGUCACCUUUACCAUCUGCCUCCCCAAUUUCAUAGCUCCUCGUUCAAGUGAGUCAAUCCACAAAACAUUUCACUUGGGUCCAUUUGGUUAGAAUCAGAGAGAACAAGUAUCUACUAUACAGUAAUUAAGAGAAAUAAUAUUUUUAAGAUUGCUUUUUCAUCAGUCUUUUCAGUUAAACCCAGCUAAGCUCCUUCCCAAAGAAGAACUGUUUCUGGAAAGCAGGUAAUAAGAAUGAAAGAAAUCAAAAAGAGCAUGUGUUUUUCAAAAAAUGUGCUCUAGUUGUUGUCAGUGACAACCUGAAGGGUUGGAAACCAUUUUGCGGAGAACAACAGAAUGGGAAGGUUGUGCCGAGAGAACUGAAACCCAUGGAGAGGUUUUGCAAAAUAAAUAUCAUAGGGAGAAUGUCAAAUUGUUUUUUUAAUGAUGUAUUUUUCCACUGAGAAUCUAUACAUGAGCUUAAGGAACAAUGUCAAGAUGAUGAUGUUUAAUGCUGGAAUUACAUGUUCCUACUAAUAUCUGGAUUCCUUUUGAUGUUGAUAAGAUUACUGAAAGAAUGCUACAUUCAGUUCUGAAGUCUAAAACAAAAAAGUAUUGAAGAAGAUUGAGAAAAGAAAAAAAAAGAGUGAGGGAACAAUUAGGAAACAGGCCUUUAAUUAGUUCCUAAAGAUGCUCAGUCUGUUUAAAUUAUCAAGGAGAAAUUUAAGUGCUGAAAAAUCUAUUUAUAACUGUGAGAACAAACUUUGAUAAGAGAUGUUCAGUAUCUGACUUGUGAAAGAAGAAACAUUUAAACUUGAAAUUUAAAAGUGAAGCUUCUUAUUAAAAAGUAACCAGCCAUUGCAAUGGCUUGUCAGAGUUGAGCAGGUUCCUCAGCUCUAGAAAGUUUCUGGUGGUGUUUGGACACUUAUUUAGAUAUUUGUUGUGUUUGUAUUACAUACUUGUUUAGUUUGGCUUUUGUUUUUGUUUUUACUAUUAACAUUACCUAUCAGCAUUUUACUGUCAGUCCUUAAUGUUGAGCCAAACUUAUAAAAAUGUAGUACUAUUUCAAGAUAUCAGAAGGUGGUACUGCCCUACUGCUAUGUGCUCUCUGCUGAAUUUGCAGAAGCUUCUGAUAGCUUUUGGUGGCCUUUGUUGAAUUUUUUUUAGACUAGGCACCAUACUGCCUGACCAUACAAGCGUCAUAGAUCCACAACACUGGACUCUCUGAGAGCUACAGGACUAGAAAUUUUAUCCAUGAACUAAUUGGAGAUGAGAGAAGUAGUAUUUGACAUUCAAUGUGUGUGUGUGCUCAUGUUUUUCAUUUGAUCCUCAUUAAUCAUUACAUGUAGCUCACACUUACACACUGGUUAUUUCAUCUGCCAUAAAUCCCUGAGAUAUGAAGGGGGUGGUCAGUGUUGUGUAACAGGCUAUUCCAGAUAAGAACUACUUUGUACCAGGUGAAUUUUAGCUGAAGUCAGUGCAGAGAGCAGAGGACAGGUCAUAAAAAUGUAUAUUCAGUGUUGCUAAUGCAGUGGAGGUGUAACUGCUUUCACCUCAGGAGUAGGAAAGCUCUUGGGACAUCUUUUGAAUGUUAAUUUUUAUACCAUCUUUCUUAGGGAUCUAUCUUACCUAUUCAUCAGGGUGAAGUGGUAUCUUUAUUUUCCUCUCUGCAGUUGCCACAACAUGGAGCAGGAGCAGGGAAAUAUAAUUCAAAUUUGUUUGGAACAGAAUUUUGCAAAAAUGAGAGGAAAAAACAUUUCCUGUAAGACAAAUUUUGAAACCUAACCAGAAAUACUUCAUUUUGAUUAUUUAGAAUUUUUAAUUAUUCUUUGACUUUUUCAAUUACAGCAUCUUAAAGAAAAGUAUUUCCAAGUGUGAGUUUAUCCCAAACUUACAGAUGGCCUUCACUCAUUGUACAUAAUCCCAGUUUUAUUUAUGUUUUAUUUUUAAAAAUAUAUUUAUUUGUCAAACUAUCUAUUUUUUAAAACAUAGAUGAUUCUUAAGCAGUUUUUAACUACAAUUAAGAACAAACUUUCAAAAAGUUAUGAAUUGUUACACCAUCAUAUACAGCAUUUUACCAGUUAUAGUCAAAGUUUCAUGCAAUCAUAUGAAAGCUUGAAGGCUUGCUUUUUAGAGUAAACAUAUCUGCAGGUAAAGCUGUAAAAUAAGUGAGGACAUUUGAUGUUACAGCAACAAGAAAAUUUUUCCUAUUUUGGUAACACACAAGUUACACUGUUUUUAUUUGACAAGUAUAUUUCUGCAGUUAAUACUUGAACUCUUUUGUCUCUUUUUCAGACAAAAAGAUGGAUAUGAUAAACCUCUAUGCACUUUCAGCUCAUAAUAUCUCAUGAUUGGCUCAUAAUAUCUUACCAUUGGCAUCACUUCUGUUUUUGUGGUUGCUGUCUGCUCAAUAUACUUCUUUUAUACAGUAUACUUCUUUUAUACAGGCAGAUCCCCUUCUAAAGCAUAAGCAUGAGUCAAUGUUUUUGACAAGUUAUCUCUGUAAGCUGCUGCUACCUGUACAGGAGUGAUGUGUCCUGUAUAGCGAGAAGACACUCCUGUUGUAUUGUUUGGGUUUCGAACAAAUAGUUUUUAGAUUUAUAGCCAUUUCUAGAAUGGUUAAAAGGAAACAUCUACCUAAUGCUGCAUACUUGAGAUGAUUCAUAGUGCCCCAUUGUAUACGUUCUUGUGUUUAUUUAAAAACCUUGUUUAGAAAAGCACAGGAUGUGAAGCAAUGCAAAAUUUCCAAAGCUUCCUUCUAGAAUCACUUGCAUUCCUUUAGAUUGAGUACACUUGGGUUCAGAGCUAAGAGGGUGGCUUCCCUUUGGCUUAUGAUAGUAAAAACCAGAUUGCAUAUUGAUUUCCUGGACUUAAGUAUUUCAUGUCACCAAGAAAGCAAUCAAAAUAUAAACACAUGAGAAAUUGCUCUUUGAAUGUUAAGGUGAUGAAAUUCAUUGGAAAGUUUCUCGCAAUGCAAUGUUAAGGCAAAAUCAGGAUCAAAAUAAUGGAAGUUAUAUGAACAAAAUGAUCAGUUUUGGUAUCAAUAUUGAAGUAUGUUGAUUGAUUGUAUACUUCCAGAAAAUAAAACAUUUUUUAUUUACUACUGACUCCUUGAUUGGUAUUUAUCACUAAUACCGAAUAUGAAAAAUGGGAUAAAUAUUGUCACCUAUAACAAGAUAAAAUCAAAAAUUUACCUCAGGAAAAUACAAUGUCCUUAUUUAAGCAGGAAAGUCUGAUUUAUGCAUCUUUUUCCUCAUAGUUUUUUCUUAUUUUGUGUGCAUGUAUGUGUGUGCACUACUCCUGCAGCAAAUCAAAAAGUGUAAGAUUAAGAGGGUGGUAUGUCUUAGAGAGGCUAUCUGAAUUAUUUUAAGAUUAUUAUGCAUCUGUUCAAAGUCCACAGACAAUGGAGAAGCUAUUCAUGUGCAAGUUGUAAAAUUAUGUUUAUUAUCAUAAAAACAGAGAUACUUUUGGUUUUCUGGUUUCAUUGCUUGUGAAUACCUUAAAGUUGAUCUAAAGGCUCUGAAAUUUUUCCUGAAUUAUUUUUAUGUCACUUUGACAUAAUUUGACCUAUUUUGAACUAUUAAAUGUGACUUAUGAAUCAAAUGACUUGCCCACUGGAUUUCAUUGUUCAUAAAAUGCACAUUUUUUAAAGUGUUCUCCAAGUUGCUUUCUAUUCAGCUUAAAGUUUGGAUGUUUUUUGCCUUCUCCUAACACCAACGCUUAGUGUUAUGACCAAUAGCUUUACAUGCCAGGUGAGCAUCUCUCCAAAACCAGGUGCCUGCCAUGGAAAGGCAGUGCUAGGAAGGUACGGAGGUCCUGGGGCUCUGUGGGAGCUAUAACAAUUAGCUGCAGGCACAUGUGAUGUGUGUGAUUUUCGCCAGGCAACAGCACCAAACAACUUGUUACUUUUUCACAUGCUAUGUCUUUGCAGCACACAUGCAACAAUAUGAAGUACUUCAUUACCUGCUUUAAACUGAGAUGUUUUUCUACAUGGUAAUACUUCUGUUUACUGCAUCUGGUGGGCUAAUAAAAUGCUCAUUCCUCAAAAACCACUGGCCUAUGGAACUACACAAUGCUUAUUCUGUAGGAAGAACUGGAAAACAACCGGCCCAGUUGUGCCAACAUCUACCAAUUCACCAGGCAGUCAGGGAUGACUUUGGGGUCAUUGACCACCAGGGACCACCAAAGAGACUCCCAGAACAGAAGACUGGAUGUGUAAAGGGGAGAGAAAAUAGGUUAACAAUUUUGGGGAAAUGAUUAUCAUGUGUAUGUUUAU